GACGAACGCUGGCGGCGUGCUUAACACAUGCAAGUCGAACGGAAAGGCCCUGCUUUUGUGGGGUGCUCGAGUGGCGAACGGGUGAGUAACACGUGAGUAACCUGCCCUUGACUUUGGGAUAACUUCAGGAAACUGGGGCUAAUACCGGAUAGGAGCUCCUGCUGCAUGGUGGGGGUUGGAAAGUUUCGGCGGUUGGGGAUGGACUCGCGGCUUAUCCGCUUGUUGGUGGGGUAGUGGCUUACCAAGGCUUUGACGGGUAGCCGGCCUGGGAGGGUGACCGGCCACAUUGGGACUGAGAGACGGCCCAGACUCCUACGGGAGGCAGCAGGGGGGAAUAUUGCACAAUGGGCGGAAGCCUGAUGCAGCAACGCCGCGUGCGGGAUGACGGCCUUCGGGUGGUAAACCGCUUUCGCCUGUGACGAAGCGUGAGUGACGGUAAUGGGUAAAGAAGCACCGGCUAACUACGUG
rnacentral:rRNA from 1 species